rnacentral:tRNA from 12 species
GCGGCUGUGGCGAAAUUGGUAGACGCACUAGAUUUAGGUUCUAGCGGGAGACCGUGGGGGUUCGAGUCCCUCCAGCCGCACCA